rnacentral:pre_miRNA from 1 species
UACAACGUUUGACUCUUCGUCUUAUUUAAAAAUUUUCUAUAAUUACUAUUUUUAUUGUUAUUAGAUGAUAAAACUUGAAUAAUACUUUAUGCAUGAUUAUUUUUUAAUUUUUUUAUAAAUUUUUUAAAUAAGAUGGAUAGUCAAACGUAGGACAUAAAAAUUCA